UGGGGGCAAGCUGGAGCCUCGUCUCCACACCAGGGAGCAGGCAGAAGGAAGUCCCUCACGGAGCUCUCCAGAGCACGUACCAGGAGAGCCCGCAUUUGGAUGCCUGCCCGUACACUGGGAACAAAGGGCCGUCGGUGUCAAGUGGAGGCGCUGUUGUGACCAGCUGAGAGGGUUACGAGCUUACCACCGACAGUCUCGUAAAACGAGACCGGCCUCUCCGUCUUCCGCCCCCCACGCCGCAGCAGUGCAUGCUGGGAAGCGGGAGGCGUUGCUAGAACGGGAAGAAGCCGGACCCCCCUCCAAAGCGCUGCUGUCAGCCGCGAGCGCACGUUCCAGUCCCUCGGGGAAACUUUGAAAAAAAAAUUCUUGUGAACUGAGAUUCCCAGUAAACCAGUGCUAUCACUCUGACCUUGCCCCAGAGAUGAGCAAACAGAAGCCUGGAGAAUUUACGUGAUUUGUGCAAGUUCAACACAGCUGUGAUGUGGACCAGUUAGAUGGGCUCUGGCAGCCAUCUCGGACCAAAAGGUAACUUUAAAGACAGAAGCUAUGUACUUGCAAGGUAGAUCAGAAGAACAAGAGGAACCUGACUCUGCAGUGACACUGGAGCCGCCAGACCACAUCUGGACUGAUGUCUCUGGACUUCUUUUUAUAAGAGAAAUAAACAUCUAUCUUGUUUAAACAAUUGUUAUUUUGAGUUUUCUGUUUUACAGCCAAAUUUGACCCUGGCAGUUUCAAGGGCCAAGCUCUACUGGGGAUUUCUUAUGGUUGAGAUAGAGAUUUUUGCUUCCUUAAUAAUUCUGGAAUCUAUCUCCUCUCCAUUGCCCCUGUUCCUUGAGUGGAAGUCCUUACUGUUUCUCCAUUGAAUCUUCACCCCCUCCAAUAAGUAGUCUGUACCACUGCCAGAGGGAUCUUCUAAAUGACAAGUUUGAUUAUAUCACUCCCACUGUUAAAAACCUUUCCAGAGGCUGGUAAGCUCUGACUUGUUUGUGAUAGGAUGUUUUGUCUUAUGAAUUGAAUAUUAGGACCUGAGCAUGUCCUACUCUAUAUUUGUGCUUAUUUUGUUAUGCGGUUUAUAUCAUGUGUCCAUAUGUAUCCAAGGAACAUUGCUAGAAACAUCACUGGAAGUUCCUGCAGGAGAGGAAGCCACUGGUGAGCACUGUAUCCUACAAUAGCCAAUGAAAGAACAUAAAUUUAUUUGCUAGUAAGCUGGGCGUUGGGCACAUCUAAACCCACUUAGGAAUCAUAGUCCAGCAGCCACCUCUUUCCCCAACCACGCAAUCUUACUCCUCUUAGUAACAUUCCAUUGCUCUCUGAGCCAUUCCAUUUUUCCUUCCUGUAUCAGUGCUCUGAUCACUCCCAGGAUUUUUUUGCAAUGAAAAUGCGGAUUACAGACCCACUGCUGAACCUUUAGUCACCUCUAAAGCUCCAUUGGAUGAAUUGCUUCCAUUGGUUUUCAGAAGCUAUCAGUGGGUUCCAUUGUGUUGUUUUACUAUAUCAAUAUUCUCCUUCCCGUGAAGAUGUCUUUGCCUUUAUUUUUGUGUGUGGUGCAUUUAAAAAAACGUUUGUUCUGAGAUCUUUGUAGAUUCACAUACUGUUGUGAGAAAUAAUAAUACCCUUCACUUGAUUUCUUCCAAUGGUAAUAUCUUAGGUGAUUUUCGUACAGUAUCACAAUCAAGAGAUUGACAUUGAUACAAUCUGCAUUAAUUUUAAAAAAAAUUAUUGUUUUCCUUCUUUUUAGAUACAUUAUAUACUUAAAAGGCAGUAACUCUUGCACCGUCAAGUUGUAGUAGAAAAUAUACAAUGUACUCUUUUUACUUCUGUUCGUGUGUAUUGUACAGAGCCUGUGUGCUUUUUGUAAUGUAAAUAAAAAAAUUUUAAGAGCUC